rnacentral:rRNA from 1 species
AUUGAACGCUGGCGGCAUGCUUUACACAUGCAAGUCGAACGGUAACAGGCCUUCGGGUGCUGACGAGUGGCGAACGGGUGAGUAAUGCAUCGGAACGUACCCAGAGGUGGGGGAUAACGCAGCGAAAGCUGUGCUAAUACCGCAUGUGAUCUGAGGAUGAAAGCGGGGGACCGAGCAGCAAUGUUUGGCCUCGCGCCUUUGGAGCGGCCGAUGUCGGAUUAGCUAGUUGGUGGGGUAAAGGCCUACCAAGGCGACGAUCGUAGCUGGUCUGAGAGGACGACCAGCCACACUGGGACUGAGACACGGCCCAGACUCCUACGGGAGGCAGCAGUGGAGAAUUUUGGACAAUGGGCGCAAGCCUGAUCCAGCAAUGCCGCGUGCGGGAAGAAGGCCUUCGGGUUGUAAACCGCUUUUGGCAGGAACGAAACGGUGUCCGCUAAUACCGGGCGCUAAUGACGGUACCUGCAGAAUAAGCACCGGCUAACUACGUG